rnacentral:sRNA from 1 species
UUGACAAUCCUGGAGAUUAAAGUCUUCUGUUUAUCGCUGGAAUGAGCACAGCAUGGGAAGCAGCAGUGCCAGCCAAAUUUGCCUCCAUCCUGACCUGGAGGGACUCAGACAGCCUGUGAGAGUCAUACAUUUUCUAUGCUUGUUAAAUACUUAGCUUCC